AGAGAGAGAGGAAGAGAGAAAGACAACGGAGAGAACAACGCUACGGACGAGUCGCACUGGCAACGCAUCGGGUAUUCAAUAUCGCGGGUAUCGAUUCGAAUACAUCUCCCGAUGUGCCACGCUCAAAUGGCAGCCGAACGUGGCGGCGACGGGGACGACGAGCUGCUGCCGCCACCGCUGCCGCCGCCGAUGAUGAUGAUGACGAGAACGAGGAGUCGAGCGUUUCGAAGAGACGACGAGAGUUUCUCUCUCUUUCUCUUUCUCUCUAUUUCUUCGCUCUCCACCUCGACAGUCACUGAAUGCGAAAACCCGUGACUAAUUAGUUAUGGAGAAAAAUUGACAGACGACGUCCAGCUGCGAAAUAAAUCUCGUUACUGUUUUA